rnacentral:rRNA from 1 species
CCUACGGGGGGCAGCAGUGAGGAAUAUUGGUCAAUGGACGAGAGUCUGACCCAGCCAAGUAGCGUGAAGGAUGACUGCCCUAUGGGUUGUAAACUUCUUUUAUAUGGGAAUAAAAUGUUCCACGUGUGGGAUUUUGUAUGUACCAUAUGAAUAAGGAUCGGCUAACUCCGUGCCAGCAGCCGCGGUAAUACGGAGGAUCCGAGCGUUAUCCGGAUUUAUGGGGUUUAAAGGGAGCGUAGGUGGAUUGUUAAGUCAGUUGUGAAAGUUUGCGGCUCAACCGUAAAAUUGCAGUUGAAACUGGCAGUCUUGAGUACAGUAGCGGUGGGCGGAAUUCGUGGUGUAGCGGUGAAAUGCUUAGAUAUUACGAAGAACUCCGAUUGCGAAGGCAGCUCACUGGACUGCAACUGACACUGAGGCUCGAAAGUGUGGGUAUCAAACAGGAUUAGAUACCCUUGUAGUC